GACGAACGCUGGCGGCGUGCUUAACACAUGCAAAUCGAACGAUGAAACCUAGCUUGCUAGGUCGAUUAGUGGCGAACGGGUGAGUAACACGUGACUAACCUGCCCCUUUCUCUGGGAUAACGCUCCGAAAGGAGUGCUAAUACCGGAUACUCACACCUAGGCACCUGCCUUGGUGUGGAAAGUUUUCCGGAAAGGGAGGGAGUCGCGGCCUAUCAGCUUGUUGGUGGGGUAACGGCUCACCAAGGCGACGACGGGUAGCCGGCCUGGGAGGGCGACCGGCCACACUGGGACUGAGACACGGCCCAGACUCCUACGGGAGGCAGCAGUGGGGAAUAUUGCACAAUGGGCGCAAGCCUGAUGCAGCAACGCCGCGUGAGGGAUGACGGCCUUCGGGUUGUAAACCUCUUUUAGUAGGGAGGAAGCGAAAGUGACGGUACCUGCAGAAAAAGCACCGGCUAACUACGUGCCAGCAGCCGCCGUAA
rnacentral:rRNA from 1 species